GACGAACGCUGGCGGCGUGCCUAAUACAUGCAAGUAGAACGCUGAAGGAAGGAGCUUGCUCUUUCUGGAUGAGUUGCGAACGGGUGAGUAACGCGUAGGUAACCUGCCUGGUAGCGGGGGAUAACUAUUGGAAACGAUAGCUAAUACCGCAUAAAAUUGAUUAUUGCAUGAUAGUCAAUUAAAAGGUGCAACUGCACCACUACCAGAUGGACCUGCGUUGUAUUAGCUAGUUGGUGGGGUAACGGCUCACCAAGGCGACGAUACAUAGCCGACCUGAGAGGGUGAUCGGCCACACUGGGACUGGGACACGGCCCAGACUCCUACGGGAGGCAGCAGUAGGGAAUCUUCGGCAAUGGACGGAAGUCUGACCGAGCAACGCCGCGUGAGUGAAGAAGGGUUUCGGAUCGUAAAGCUCUGUUGUAAGAGAAGAACGAGUGUGAGAGUGGAAAGUUCACACUGUGACGGUAUCUGACCAGAAAGGGACGGCUAACUACGUG
rnacentral:rRNA from 1 species